CCAGACUCCUACGGGAGGCAGCAGUGGGGAAUAUUGCACAAUGGGGGAAACCCUGAUGCAGCGACGCCGCGUGAGCGAUGAAGUAUUUCGGUAUGUAAAGCUCUAUCAGCAGGGAAGAAAAUGACGGUACCUGACUAAGAGGCCCCGGCUAACUACGUGCCAGCAGCCGCGGUAAUACGUAGGUGGCAAGCGUUAUCCGGAUUUACUGGGUGUAAAGGGCGUGUAGGCGGGAAAGCAAGUCAGAUGUGAAAACCAUGGGCUCAACCUGUGGCCUGCAUUUGAAACUGUUUUUCUUGAGUACUGGAGAGGCAGACGGAAUUCCUAGUGUAGCGGUGAAAUGCGUAGAUAUCAGGAGGAACACCGGUGGCGAAGGCGGCCUGCUGGACUGUAACUGACGUUGAGGCUCGAAAGCGUGGGGAGCAAACAGGAUUAGAUACCCCCGUAUA
rnacentral:rRNA from 1 species